CUUACCUAUCAGAGGGGGAUAGCCCGGCGAAAGUCGGAUUAAUACCCCAUAAAACAGGGGUCCCGCAUGGGAAUAUUUGUUAAAGAUUCAUCGCUGAUAGAUAGGCAUGCGUUCCAUUAGGCAGUUGGCGGGGUAACGGCCCACCAAACCGACGAUGGAUAGGGGUUCUGAGAGGAAGGUCCCCCACAUUGGUACUGAGACACGGACCAAACUCCUACGGGAGGCAGCAGUGAGGAAUAUUGGUCAAUGGCCGAGAGGCUGAACCAGCCAAGUCGCGUGAAGGAAGAAGGAUCUAUGGUUUGUAAACUUCUUUUAUAGGGGAAUAAAGUGGAGGACGUGUCCUUUUUUGUAUGUACCCUAUGAAUAAGCAUCGGCUAACUCCGUGCCAGCAGCCGCGGUAAUACGGAGGAUGCGAGCGUUAUCCGGAUUUAUUGGGUUUAAAGGGUGCGUAGGUGGUGAUUUAAGUCAGCGGUGAAAGUUUGUGGCUCAACCAUAAAAUUGCCGUUGAAACUGGGUUACUUGAGUGUGUUUGAGGUAGGCGGAAUGCGUGGUGUAGCGGUGAAAUGCAUAGAUAUCACGCAGAACUCCGAUUGCGAAGGCAGCUUACUAAACCAUAACUGACACUGAAGCACGAAAGCGUGGGGAUCAAACAGGAUUAGAUACCCUGGUAGUCCACGCAGUAAACGAUGAUUACUAGGAGUUUGCGAUACAAUGUAAGCUCUACAG
rnacentral:rRNA from 1 species